UACGAAGGGGGCUAGCGUUGCUCGGAAUCACUGGGCGUAAAGCGCACGUAGGCGGCUUUCUAAGUCAGGGGUGAAAUCCUGGAGCUCAACUCCAGAACUGCCUUUGAUACUGGAGAGCUUGAGUCCGGAAGAGGUGAGUGGAACUCCGAGUGUAGAGGUGAAAUUCGUAGAUAUUCGGAAGAACACCAGUGGCGAAGGCGGCUCUCUGGGACGUGACUGACGCUGAGACGCGAAAGCGUGGGGAGCAAACAGG
rnacentral:rRNA from 1 species